CUUCGAUUAAAAAAUGUGCGGUUAGGAUGAUGUGGGCCCUCUAGGGUUGAGUGGGUAGUUGAUUGAAUAGUAUAAUCGAACGGAUAAAAAUAAUCAAAGGGGUUAAUCUAACGGUAGAAAACUUGAUAGCACAAAGUGUUUGGUGCUAUCGAUAGCAUAGCAGCCGGACUCUCUCUCUCUCUCUCUCUCUCUCUCUCUCUCUCUCUCUCUCUAUAUAUAUAUAUAUAUAUAUAUAGGGUCCGGCUACUAUACUAUUAUGAGUAUGAUCGUUUUCGUACUCAUAAAUCGUUUUCGAUGAUAGAGCUUCCGAAUCGACAAUCCAUACCGUUAAACGUUAUUUACAGCAUUUAAAACUUCUAGAAAUCAAAUUUUAUAAUUUUUCGACAUCAUUUACCUUAUGAUCAAAAGGUCACAAAUUUGACAAUUUUUAACGGCCGGUAUAGGAUACUUAAUUGCUAGUUUAACGGUGUAAAAGAAUCGGAAUUUGUUGAAUUUUUGAUAGAAAAUUCUAUUCACUACAUAGAUAAAGAUCAAUAACUC
rnacentral:lncRNA from 1 species